rnacentral:rRNA from 1 species
UGCUUGCAUUUAACUGAUUUAACAUUGAGACGAGUGGCGAACUGGUGAGUAACACGUGGGUAACCUGCCCUGAAGUGGGGGAUAACACUUGGAAACAGGUGCUAAUACCGCAUAACAACGAAAACCACAUGGUUUUCGUUUGAAAGAUGGCUUCGGCUGUCACUUUUGGAUGGACCCGCGGCGUAUUAGCUUGUUGGUGAGGUAACGGCUCACCAAGGCCAUGAUACGUAGCCGACCUGAGAGGGUAAUCGGCCACAUUGGGACUGAGACACGGCCCAAACUCCUACGGGAGGCAGCAGUAGGGAAUCUUCCACAAUGGACGAAAGUCUGAUGGAGCAACGCCGCGUGAGUGAUGAAGGGUUUCGGCUCGUAAAACUCUGUUGUUGGAGAAGAACAGGUGAUAGAGUAACUGUUAUCAUCUUGACGGUAUCCAACCAGAAAGCCACGGCUAACUACGUGCCAGCAGCCGCGGUAAUACGUAGGUGGCAAGCGUUGUCCGGAUUUAUUGGGCGUAAAGCGAGCGCAGGCGGUUUUUUAGGUCUGAUGUGAAAGCCUUCGGCUUAACCGGAGAAGGGCAUCGGAAACCGGGAGACUUGAGUGCAGAAGAGGACAGUGGAACUCCAUGUGUAGCGGUG